CUUACAUGUGAUGGUAGAUAUGUAUCAUGUGCUUGGUUGUAGUUAUAGUGAUUUAUAUUCUUUUAUCAGGAACCCUGUCACCUUUGGACUGUUAGUAAAUAUUAUCUGCAACAAAUUUACUGAAUUUCCAUGGUACCUUCAAAGAUGCUGCUGUGCCAGCUUGAAAGUUGGCGUUGAAAGAUUUUUUUGAUAAAAUGGCAUCCGAAGAGACUAGUUGGUACGGUUAUCUGCAACUGGUGCGCUAUUCGUUACUUACAUUCAUGAAGUGCUGAGUGGCUCUGGGGAACUUGGUAAUUGCCACCACUAGAAGGGUAGCAAAUGUUCUAGUUAUAGAAGGUGCUGAUGUUCAUAUUUGGCUUUCUGCUACUUAUGAAAGUUAUAACACCAUUACCCGAGGAAAAAGCACAUGUUGGGGAUAUAUUUAACAUAUAUUUGUAAUAAGAUAAUCCUAUAUGUAAUCUAUUUCAAAAAAUCUCCUCUUCCUAUAUUUCUUUUGCCAUUAAAUGUCUUGCGAAAGUUGUUUCGUGCUCAGAAUAAUUCAGAAUUUUAUAGGCAUUGGGAUUCAUUAUAUUGAUGUGUAGUAUCAUCAUGAUCAGGAUACAGAAAUUUUUACUAGUGAGCAAAA